AACGCNGGCGGCAGGCUUAACACAUGCAAGUCGAGCGGGCGUAGCAAUACGUCAGCGGCAGACGGGUGAGUAACGCGUGGGAACGUACCUUUUGGUUCGGAACAACACAGGGAAACUUGUGCUAAUACCGGAUAAGCCCUUACGGGGAAAGAUUUAUCGCCGAAAGAUCGGCCCGCGUCUGAUUAGCUAGUUGGUGAGGUAAUGGCUCACCAAGGCGACGAUCAGUAGCUGGUCUGAGAGGAUGAUCAGCCACAUUGGGACUGAGACACGGCCCAAACUCCUACGGGAGGCAGCAGUGGGGAAUAUUGGACAAUGGGCGCAAGCCUGAUCCAGCCAUGCCGCGUGAGUGAUGAAGGCCCUAGGGUUGUAAAGCUCUUUUGUGCGGGAAGAUAAUGACGGUACCGCAAGAAUAAGCCCCGGCUAACUUCGUGCCAGCAGCCGCGGUAAUACNAANGGGGCUAGCGUUGCUCGGAAUCACUGGGCGUAAAGGGUGCGUANGCG
rnacentral:rRNA from 1 species